CUACCUGUUGGGUCGUGGAUGAAUAAUUCCUUCUCGGAGAGAAGCAGCUUUCAAAGGAACUGACUUCUGAGACUAUUUUCUCACCUUUGUGAGACAUAAGGAGAUAACAUAUCGCUAGUGACCGACCUCUCAUCAAUGAAGACAUCAGGGUCUUAUAGCGCUUCUCUCCCUUUCCCCCUACCCCCACCCCCACUCCCUUCUACUCCAAUCCAUCUCUUUAUCCCUGCCCAGCCAAACACAGCCCAAAGAAAGACGUCACGGACAAAAGCUGUUACCGUGGCGACCGUAAAAUACGGUCUGGGCUGUGGGGAACAACAGACUUGACCAUGGGAUCUGCCAACACGGACUCACCUCACAAGCUCUAUCGAUUCCGUGAAGUCGAUUCUGAUGCCUGAAUUGGAGAAGCCCACACGUUUGCAGGCUCUGAAAAGAAGUGCGCUUGCGCCAACGCCUCUGAACUACGUUUCCCAGAGACCUCCGGACUUCCAAAAUUCAGUCUCUCUGAGAUCUCUCCUAAGGUUCAAGCUUGCAAAUUCUUUGAGAGACUCAUCCCCACAUGGAUCUGCCACCCCAACCUUUUGGAGUCUCCUUCUGAACCUCAACAAUGGUGCUCUGUUGAACAACUCAACGAGGCAGUGGCCAGAGAUGUCUGAAGACCUGGGAUGAGUGAUGGCUUCCUCUCCAUUCUCUGGAUGAUGCUCCUGUAUUCAAGUCUGGAACUCCUCAGGCAAGACAGCCCAAAACUGCUCCAAAAGGAGCAGUUCCAAGAUUUGCUCCUUGCUGAGGCUCUCUGGCCUAAGCCAUUGAUGGCAAAGUUGCUGAGGGCCCAGGAGUCUCUUGGUAGCAAAACUGCUUGAACCUCUGUCUGAAGAUGUCUCUGGUAUGUGAGAGGCCCUCUUAAAGUUUGCAUCUCUUCUG